GUUUUUUUUGGUGGCCCUAAUACAUAUGAAGUAAAUAAAUUCUUUUUUUUUUAACUUAGAAAACCAAGCAAAUAAAAGCGCCCAAAUUUGACCUUGUAGAUUCUCUGGGGUUUAACCCGGUCUGGUUGUGAAUAGGUACACUAAUAUACAAAUAUGCCCGCCAUCAGAUAGAAGGGUGUUUCUGUGCCGACUGGUGCCAACUAUUUCCAGAGUCUCUCAGGCGAUUAGGAAACUUUGAUUGCGGUUAUCGUGAACUUUCCACAACACGGAGAAUACCUUGACUUUCACAGGCCGUGUUUGUCCUCGCCCCACCACCGUGCUGCAGUGCAAACAGUCCGCCUCAGAUUUUUCUGCCCUUUUAUUUACUUGUUUUUCCACCUGCCAACCUGCCCCGGUUGUGUCUUCAUCGGGGAGCUGCUGCAGUAGGAGCUGUGGAUUUGUUGGAGACCCUACAGUUGAUUUGAUUAAACGAAGCCCUAAUAGACGGCGUGCUGUGUUUUGACAAAUGAAUUAUUUGCGCUGCAGGUCCCCCCUUCUCUUUAACUUCUUAUCGGAGUGCGGAAUUAACCCCAGAUUAAGAUAAGCUGUGACUUUCCGCUGUUUGACCACUCUGUUGCAAGGCGACCGCGGCUGUUUGAUCUUUUCUCUUUCCACUGGGAACCAUGCCACAUGUGACCCAGCAGGUUGGAAUCCUUUCAAUGGACAAAGGGUUGGAACUGGAGGUGAGUCUAGCAGUUCUUCCAUCAGAAAAUCCUACUUUUGCUUGGGUGUGCUUUUAAAAUGCACACAGAAUGUGGUUUAGUGUCUUCUUAGUGUCUACUCUUUGAAAAGGUCAAUAUUCUCAGUUUAAAACUUGUAAGGGCAGGCUACGCGUGUUCAUGAAUGGGCUAAACACGCAUUCUGGAACGUGUGUUUUGCCCAUAGCAGUGUUUCGCAACCUUUAUAUGGCCGGUCAACCCCCGGGGAUUUUAUCGUGGCCCGGUGGAAAGGGGUGGGGGUUGCCGUGGAUACUUAAUUUUGGUCUGAUUUUAAAAAGAAAAUAAACCUCUGAUCAUCACAAAAAACACAUCUUUUAAUAAUAAUAAUAAUAAUAAAUGUGAUGGUGACUCUGUCAGUUCUCCUCCCCCUCCCCUCUGUACUUGGCUCCUGAUUCGACACAGCUGCGACCACUCACCUCAUCACCUACCUGCCUUCAAAAGGAGAUCCAGUUCCAACAUUCAUCGGCAAUUCAUUGCCCCUGAUGGUGCAUGGUAUGGUCGUCACGUUCAUAGCUAUCGUUACUAAGCCUUUGCCUAAGUCUCGCUCUCUACCUUGUUCUCAGGAUUCCAUUACCACGAGUGGUCGCCUGAAUCAUCUAUGUUUCCGGAUCCAAGUCUCUGCAUUUCCUCCUGUCACGCCACGAGCCUCUGCCGAUUCUCCAGUCACGCCACGAGCCACGGUCGUAUCCACCAGUGACGCCACGAGCCACAGAUUACCAAUCUAUCCUCGUCGUGGGUCCUCCUCGGAUUCUCCUGCUUCGCCUGCAGCCUACAGCAGCAAGAACAGAAAUGAAAACUAUUUCUUACUCACCUCUGAACUCACCUGUGUCUUCUUCCAGGUUCCAGCGUCUGGGUCUGUUUUGUCUUGUCAGUCAUGACAAAUAACAACAGAUGACACCAAUGGAACAUCAAUCUCUAGUAACAAAGUCUGCCUAUGGAUGUUGUGAGGGCUAUGUAAACAGGCUCUGUGUGUGGGAAAUCACCUGUUGCAAUAAUUCCAUAAUUUAAGCCGUAUCCAUAUUUUUUUCUUAAAUUCGUAGCCCGGUCUUCCAUCUGUUCUUGUGUUCCUGCACCAAUUCCUUAUCCAUUUGCAAGGAAGCGUUCCACAUACAACUUUUCUCGUGUAGCACGCCGCCGAACUACUUUUAGCGCUCAAGUGACUGAAAUGUAACCAACAGAUCCCUGUCGAUUUUCAUAACCAACUUUUUUCAGAAGAAAAGAUCGUUCAAAUGUAGUCAUAAAUACUUAUGACUAUAUUUGAUCUGCGGCCCGCCUGGUGGUUGGAGACCACUGGCCUAUGGUGUUCACACUGGACAAGCACGGAGGGGCUUCUUCUUUUUUUUUUCUCUUUUAACUGUUUUUUCUAGUGCAUGUCUGCUACCAAAUGUCAAAGUGGUGCAAAUCUCUGAAAUCUUGGCUCCAAGCAGCUUUCAACUGCUCAGUUGUUGGACAGGGCAAGUUGGAAAAACAAAACAAACAAACAAAAAACCCAUCGAGCUCAGAUUCUUCAAGUGAUUGUUCCAUCAAUCCUGUGACCCAAUUAUCAGCAGGACUCCGUCCAGGUAAAUUAUAUAACUCCCAUUAAAAGCCACCGUAGCAUCCAGGGCAGACAAAUCUAGGCCAGGCAACCUGCAGAGCACAGGAGGAAGUCCACAGGAAAAGAGGAAAACACAACUGAAUAAAUAGAGGAGUUGUAGGAUUUUCCCUUUAAUGGGUUCCCUUUUUAGGACCAAGAAUGAUCAUUUUACAUCAAAUUUGCUUCGGAUGUAUGUGUAUUUCGCUGGAAAUAAUGUGUGCCAUCAGGCUUUAUUAAACUCUUCAGUACCAAUAGAAAAA